rnacentral:rRNA from 1 species
UACGGGGGGUGCGAGCGUUGUCCGGAAUCACUGGGCGUAAAGGGCGCGUAGGUGGUCUGAUAAGGGUGUGGUGAAAGCCCGGGGCUCAACCCCGGGUCGGCCGUGCCGACUGUUAGACUAGAGUGCUGUAGGGGCAGGCGGAAUUCCGGGUGGAGUGGUGAAAUGCGUAGAGAUCCGGAGGAACACCAGAGGCGAAGGCGGCCUGCUGGGCUGCACCUGACGCUGAGCCGCGAAAGCCAGGGGAGCGAACGGG